GACGUAGGUGGCGAACGUUAUCCGGAAUUACUGGGCGUAAAGCGUGCGCAGGCGGUUCGUCAAGUCUGAUGUGAAAGCCCCGGGCUCAACCUGGGAAUGGCAUUGGAAACUAGCGGGCUUGAGUGUGGCAGAGGGGGGUGGAAUUCCGCGUGUAGCAGUGAAAUGCGUAGAUAUGCGGAGGAACACCGAUGGCGAAGGCAAUCCCCUGGGCCUGCACUGACGCUCAUGCACGAAAGCGUGGGGAGCAAACAGG
rnacentral:rRNA from 1 species